UCCCCGAAGGCUUUGUGUGUGACUGAUGAG
rnacentral:piRNA from 1 species